rnacentral:rRNA from 1 species
AUUGAACGCUGGCGGAAUGCUUUACACAUGCAAGUCGAACGGCAGCACGGACUUCGGUCUGGUGGCGAGUGGCGAACGGGUGAGUAAUACAUCGGAACGUGCCCAGUCGUGGGGGCUAACGUAGCGAAAGCUACGCUAAUACAGCAUACGCUCUAAGGAUGAAAGCGGGGGAUCGCAAGACCUCGCGCGAGUGGAGCGGCCGAUGGCAGAUUAGGUAGUUGGUGGGGUAAAGGCUCACCAAGCCGACGAUCUGUAGCUGGUCUGAGAGGACGACCGGCCACACUGGGACUGAGACACGGCCCAGACUCCUACGGGAGGCAGCAGUGGGGAAUUUUGGACAAUGGGCGAAAGCCUGAUCCAGCCAUUCCGCGUGCAGGAUGAAGGCCCUCGGGUUGUAAACUGCUUUUGUACGGAACGAAAAGGCUCUGGUUAAUACCUGGGGCUCAUGACGGUACCGUAAGAAUAAGCACCGGCUAACUACGUGCCAGCAGCCGCAGUAA